AUUGAACGCUGGCGGCAGGCCUAACACAUGCAAGUCGAACGAGUGGCGGACGGGUGAGUAAUGUCUGGGAAACUGCCUGAUGGAGGGGGAUAACUACUGGAAACGGUAGCUAAUACCGCAUACCAUCGGAUGUGCACAGAUGGGCUUAGCUAGUAGGUGGGGUAAAGGCUCACCUAGGCGACGAUCCCUAGCUGGUCUGAGAGGAUGACCAGCCACACUGCAACUGCGCCACGGGCCAGACUCCUACGGUAGGCAGCAGUGGGGAAUAUUGCACAAUGGGCGCAAGCCUGAUGCAGCCAUGCCGCGUGUAUGAAGAAGGCCUUCGGUUUGUAAAGUACUUUCAGCGGGGAGGCGUUACCCGCAGAAGAAGCACCGGCUAACUCCGUGCCAGCAGCCGCGGUAAUAC
rnacentral:rRNA from 1 species